CUCAGCCACACCACUGAUCACCCGUGAGCACCACGCCACUGUCUGUCCCAGUAGCAUAUGAGAAAUAAAGAUGGUGAUACAGCAUUGAAAAAGACCCACCACAUCCCUCAGGCCAUCCGGUGCAUGGACAUCUUGUGCCAGUGUGGUCCAAGCACGAGAGUCAGUUGUAGAGGCUACAGCCGAUCGAGCUUGUGGACGGACAGACAUGAGGCAUGACAUGCAGAACAUCUUCAGGCUCUCCCCAUGAGAAGCAGUUCAUGAUGUUCAACGCCACCCUUCUUAAGGAGAUCUGGUGGAAGUAAUGGCUCUCCCAUUCUUAGAUGUAUUCUCUCUCUCUCUCUUGCUCUCUGUCUAGUUAAGCAGUCCAGAUGAUUUUCGUAGGGUGUGUCUUAUCCAACUCUACUUACUUCUUAUUUGGACUCUUAUGGAAACAUUGAAGUUUCAGGCAUCUCCACCAUGGCACAAUUACAGAAUGUUCUCACUGAGGUGCAUCUUGUGGGCUAAAUGUUUUUCCCAUACAAACCACAGAAACGGUUUUGUUCCGAAUGCAUCUGUGGUACAGUACAGACAAUCUGACAACCACUGUUGGUCCUCCUUAGUAAUCUCGCGACUCAGACGGUUAACUUUCCUCUUGAGAAUUAUAAUCAGAAAUACAGUCGUAGAGCUCACCGCAAGACUUCACCUCCUUCGGGGCAAAUAGUACCCUAGACUGUACUGAUCAUCUAGGUGAGCAUCUCAGAUAAAUCCUCCAUCCCAUGUUUUUCAGCUCAGCAUUCUGAGGGAAACAUUUGCCAGAAGCGGUGAUCUCCGUGUUCUAAGAAAAUGGAGUCCUUCAACUCGUUGUCCAGUGAGUGAGGCUUGCCUCCAUAGUCUUUAGUUUGUAGUCUAGUUGUGGUUCUUGUUAUUCCCACCAGGUGUUUCUUCAGGCUGUUGGGGACUGGCUUAACAUUUUCCCCACACAAAUCACAAAGACAGUUUGAACAUGACUAGUUAAAUGACUGACCGACUUAAGCCCAUGGCUCCUAUAAGUCAGGGCUUCCCCAAAUUCGGUCCUGGGUCUCUGUUGCACAUCACAUUGCUUUCCUGUCUGACUUUAAGGUUUAAUGCGUUAACUGGAUGGUCAUUGACUGUACUGAUGUAGAAGUUGCUACUCCAAGUUAGAUGGAUCUGCAGAAGUAAACCUACUCAGUGUACCGUUCGAUGUACUCCUUCAAGCUACUCCUGGGAGUUGCAACUAAUGCAGUUUUAACAUACUGCAGCGAUCUGUAUACAGGAUCUGUGUCAGACAACACUAAAAACAACAACCAUACAGAAAUACACAAGAUAAAUAAUGGGAUCAGUACUUUCCUAUACUUUUCAUAUGAGGACUAGUGCAGUUUUUCUAUUAACUUUUAAUGGAUCACUUUGGAUUUUAUCACUUGACUUAUCAAUUACAAUGGGAAGGAUCAUUCAUACAAAUUAAGACUGUGAAUGCAUAUAGCUCUGACAGUGGUUCCCAACCUGAGGUACUAGGACCCCUGAAGGUUCUUGGCCUACCCACAGGGGGUACUUGAGAAGACUCAUGAGACCAUAAGCCUAAUGGUAAAAUGCACAUGGGGGUACUCCGGGCAGAGAGAAAUUCAGUUGGUGAUACAGUAGCCGAAAAAGGUUGGGAACUACUGCUCUAUGACAGACCACUACUAAAAAGUAAAUUUGAAGAUUUGU